GGAAGCGUCAGCAGCGCACAGAUGCUGAUACCGUCGGGAAGGUUUGUUUGUGCGACGGUUAGGGUUCUUUGCGACUCUUGGUAUGCUCGCUGUUGUGAAUGACAAAGCUUCGGGGAGGAUGAACCAAAGGAUAAGACCAGAGUGGAGACAUGACUCUCUAGCGAAGGAGAAGAGAAGACUGUGAUUUUAGUAUCGUAAAAGAGAGUUGAUAAAAAAAAGUAUCGUAAAGAGAAGAUUGAUCUUAGGCCACAAGAUCAAAAACAAUCAAUGGCCAGAAAUUCUAAUCCUAAUGUUGAUAGAUAGACCAAUAAGGAGAAAUGAUGAGGAUUGACUAAAAUUGAUUUGUAACCAUUGGAUUAAAUGCAAUCAAUGGUUGAAAAUUAAUCAAUCAAAAACUGUUUUUUAUUUUAUAGUUAUUUUAGAAAUUAUAAUUUUAUGGACAAUUAUCCUAAAUAGAUCAUUUUUAAGUUUUUGUCACAAAAGUAGAUCACACGGAUAAAAAUGACCAAAAUGUUUUAUUUAAUAAUAAUUAAAAAAAAAAUAUAUAUAUAUAUAUAUAUAAAAUUAAUAGUUUUAGAUUAUAUGUUUUUCAAAUUUUCUUUUUGUAAUUAACAAAUAUUUUUUGAAACUAUUUUUAAAAUUUUUAAUUUUUGAUUUUUCUUUUGUAAAAAUUUAAACCUCAAUCCGGCAGAUAUGUUGUAUGGCUCAUCCAUGGACUCUUCUCUUAUCCUGUUCUACAGCCCCUCGCUCGCUACUUCUGAAACCAGAGAAUGAUCAGACCUCUCCUCAUUACCUCUAAAUUUGUGUUAUGUCUCCACGUUCCUCUAUGUAGGCUUCUGGUUUACAAAUUAGGGAUUGGUUUUCUCGGAGGAGCCUUGGCUAAGGGUUUGUCAAGCUGGCUUUGUGCCGUUCUUGGAUCUAUCAUGUGGUUCUCCUCUUCAUGUUUUGAGACAAGUGCUCCCUUCUAUGGUGGAGAUAUUUAAUGGUGUUGGAGAGUUCUUCUGAUGUGCUCUUCUUUCUAGCACUAUGGUUUGGUAUUUCUCUUUUCAAUGUGCCUUUUAGAUUCUCGAUGCCACCACGUUGUUUUGUUAUAAAAUAUUUUCAUGUGUUUCAGUCUAUAGUGGUGGUCAUAUGAACUUAUAAUAUUAAUCGGUUUUACCAAUCCAGAACUGAAGACAUUUGUGCUCUCUGUCAGUCUCCAAAAAUUUACGAUAAUCUAUUUAAUACCACACUUACCAUCACGGCUGCAUCAAGGUUAGAGCUUUAGUAAUUACCUUUGCAGGACAAGAGAGUUGAGGCAUACUUGAUUCAUAUGGUUUCAUGAUUCAUAAGAGGAUGUGUUUGCAUGUGCAGCACAAUAAUCUCAAACCACAUAGAUUUAUUAUUCAAUAUUGUUUAUUCUCUGUUUCUCCACAUGUUAAUCUGCCAAGUGAUUUUUAAUCUCCUCAUUUUAGUGUCUUUUCAUGUUAUGUACGACUUCAUCUCUUAGGAUUUGCUUCUCAAUCCAAGUAUCAUGUUAUGUGCCUUUUGUAUUCCAGUCUCAGGGUUAAGCUAUUCCAAAGUUAUGAUACUCUUCUCUACUAUUGCUAACCAUAGUUUAAGAUGGUUUGCAAGUUAUUGUAAAUUUGUUAAUUACUUAACAGAUAACCCUCUACGUACAAUACAUACUUUUCACAAAGAAAAACAAAAAGAUGAAAAUUCAUUAUAAUAUUAUUUAAUUUUUUUUAUCAAACUCAAGACAACUAAAAUAUAUAUGAAUUUAAGCUGACAUAACUUUCCCUUUUAAUCACUAAAAUCAAGUUUUGAAAAAUGAAUAAAAGAUAACGAAAUUUCAAUAAAUGAUUGAUAUAUAAUCAAAAUAAAAAUUAAAAAAUAGUUUUAGAGACAAAAAAAAUAUAAUAAUAAAAUUAUCGAAAUUUCAUAAUAAAUCCAAAACAUACAUAAUAUGACACUGAAUACAUAAAUUUUAAGAAAA